rnacentral:tRNA from 1 species
GCCUGGGUGGAGAAAUUGGUAGACUCGCCAUCUUGAGGUGAUGGUGCCGAAAGGCAUGCAGGUUCAAAUCCUGUCCCAGGCACCA